AUGAACGCUGGCGGCGCGCCUAACACAUGCAAGUCGAACGGCACCCCUCUCCGGAGGGAAGCGAGUGGCGAACGGCUGAGUAACACGUGGAGAACCUGCCCCCUCCCCCGGGAUAGCCGCCCGAAAGGACGGGUAAUACCGGAUACCCCGGGGUGCCGCAUGGCACCCCGGCUAAAGCCACGACGGGAGGGGAUGGCUCCGCGGCCCAUCAGGUAGACGGCGGGGUGACGGCCCACCGUGCCGACAACGGGUAGCCGGGUUGAGAGACCGACCGGCCAGAUUGGGACUGAGACACGGCCCAGACUCCUACGGGAGGCAGCAGUGGGGAAUCUUGCGCAAUGGGGGGAACCCUGACGCAGCGACGCCGCGUGCGGGACGGAGGCCUUCGGGUCGUAAACCGCUUUCAGCAGGGAAGAGUCAAGACUGUACCUGCAGAAGAAGCCCCGGCUAACUACGUGCCAGCAGCCGCGGUAAUACGUAGGGGGCGAGCGUUAUCCGGAUUCAUUGGGCGUAAAGCGCGCGUAGGCGGCCCGGCAGGCCGGGGGUCGAAGCGGGGGGCUCAACCCCCCGAAGCCCCCGGAACCUCCGCGGCUUGGGUCCGGUAGGGGAGGGUGGAACACCCGGUGUAGCGGUGGAAUGCGCAGAUAUCGGGUGGAACACCGGUGGCGAAGGCGGCCCUCUGGGCCGAGACCGACGCUGAGGCGCGAAAGCUGGGGGAGCGAACAGGAUUAGAUACCCUGGUAGUCCACGCCGUAAACGAUGAGUGCUAGGUGUUAGGCCCUUUCCGGGGCUUAGUGCCGGAGCUAACGCAAUAAGCACUCCGCCUGGGGAGUACGACCGCAAGGUUGAAACUCAAAGGAAUUGACGGGGGCCCGCACAAGCAGCGGAGCAUGUGGCUUAAUUCGAAGCAACGCGAAGAACCUUACCAGGGCUUGACAUAUGGGUGAAGCGGGGGAGACCCCGUGGCCGAGAGGAGCCCAUACAGGUGGUGCAUGGCUGUCGUCAGCUCGUGUCGUGAGAUGUUGGGUUAAGUCCCGCAACGAGCGCAACCCCCGCCGCGUGUUGCCAUCGGGUGAUGCCGGGAACCCACGCGGGACCGCCGCCGUCAAGGCGGAGGAGGGCGGGGACGACGUCAAGUCAUCAUGCCCCUUAUGCCCUGGGCUGCACACGUGCUACAAUGGCCGGUACAGAGGGAUGCCACCCCGCGAGGGGGAGCGGAUCCCGGAAAGCCGGCCCCAGUUCGGAUUGGGGGCUGCAACCCGCCCCCAUGAAGUCGGAGUUGCUAGUAAUCGCGGAUCAGCAUGCCGCGGUGAAUGCGUUCCCGGGCCUUGUACACACCGCCCGUCACACCACCCGAGUCGUCUGCACCCGAAGUCGCCGGCCCAACCGAGAGGGGGGAGGCGCCGAAGGUGUGGAGGGUGAGGGGGGUG
rnacentral:rRNA from 1 species